rnacentral:rRNA from 1 species
UACAGAGGUCCCAAGCGUUGUUCGGAUUCACUGGGCGUAAAGGGUGCGUAGGCGGUUUGACAAGUCUGAUGUGAAAUCCCGCAGCUUAACUGCGGAACUGCAUUGGAAACUGUUUGACUAGAGGAAUGGAGGGGAGACUGGAAUACUUGGUGUAGCAGUGAAAUGCGUAGAUAUCGGGAGGAACACCAGUGGCGAAGGCGGCGACCUGGGCCAAUACUGACGCUGAGGUGCGAAAGCGUGGGGAGCAAACAGG